CAGCCCCCGCCCCGCCCACCGAGCCCCGCGCCCCCCUCUCCGCCCCCCGCCGCCCCCACUCCGACAACCCCGCCACAAGAACGCCCCAGAACCUUCACUUGCAGCAAGGCCUAGGGGGAGAGGGCCCCUGGGAGUAUCCUGCUGAUGGUGGCGAUGAUGGUCCCAGGGGAGGUCCGCCGCCAGGGGUCACGCAAAAACUACAAGAGGAGAAAGAAGAGGAAGAAGGAAGAAAAGGAGGAGGAGGAGGAGGAAUAAGAGAAGAAGGAGGAGGAGGAGGAGGAGGAGGAGGAGGAGGGUCAUGGUU